rnacentral:rRNA from 1 species
UGGGGAAUAUUGGACAAUGGGCGCAAGCCUGAUCCAGCAAUGCCGCGUGUGUGAAGAAGGCCUUCGGGUUGUAAAGCACUUUUGUUAGGGAGGAAAGUCUGGUAGCUAAUAACUGCUAGAUCUGACGUUACCUAAAGAAUCAGCACCGGCUAACUCUGUGCCAGCAGCCGCGGUAAUACAGAGGGUGCAAGCGUUAAUCGGAAUUACUGGGCGUAAAGGGUCUGUAGGCGGAUUAUUAAGUCGGAUGUGAAAUCCCCGGGCUCAACCUGGGAACGGCAUUCGAUACUGGUAGUCUAGAGUGUGCAAGAGGAUGGGGGAAUUCCUGGUGUAGCAGUGAAAUGCGUAGAGAUCAGGAGGAACAUCAAUGGCGAAGGCACCUUUCUGGGGCAACACUGACGCU